CCCCUGCUGAGAGUCUGAACCUUUACGUGGUGCAGGGGAUUAACGGAAUGGUGGUGGUGGCCACUGUUCCCGACUAAUACAGAC
rnacentral:ribozyme from 1 species